rnacentral:rRNA from 1 species
UACGUAGGCGGAAGAUUAAGUCAGUGGUGAAAUCCUGCAGCUCAACUGUAGAACUGUCAUUGAUACUGAUUUUCUUGAAUACAGUAGAGGUAGGCGGAAUAUGUAAUGUAGCGGUGAAAUGCUUAGAUAUUACAUAGAACACCGAUUGCGAAGGCAGCUUACUAUACUGUGAUUGACGCUGAGGCACGAAAGCGUGGGGAGCGAACAGGAUUAGAUACCCUGGUAGUCC